rnacentral:rRNA from 1 species
GAUGAACGCUAGCGGCAGGCCUAAUACAUGCAAGUCGAACGGUGUCUUCGGACAUAGUGGCGCACGGGUGCGUAACACGUAUGCAACCUACCUUACAUUGGGGGAUAGCCUUUCGAAAGGGAGAUUAAUACCGCAUAAGACAGUAGCUGGGCAUCCAGCAGCUGUUAAAGAUUUAUCGAUGUAAGCUGGGCAUGCGUCCAAUUAGCUAGUUGGUGAGGUAACGGCUCACCAAGGCAAUGAUUGGUAGGGGAACUGAGAGGUCAAUCCCCCACACGGGCACUGGGAAACGGGCCAGACUGCUACGGGAGGCAGCAGUAGGGAGUAUUGGGCAAUGGACGCAAGUCUGACCCAGCCAUGCCGCGUGCAGGAUGAAGGCGUUAUGCGUUGUAAACUGCUUUUAUACAGGAAGAAACGACUCUUGCGAGAGGCAUUGACGGUACUGUAUGAAUAAGCACCGGCUAACUCCGUGCCAGCCGCCGCCGUAAUAC